GAGUGAAAGAAGUAAAGAUAGGAUCCAAACAUUCCUUCUCACAAUUAAUCGAGGCUCCCUUCAUGGGACCAUAGAUUGGAGGCAACCUCCCGAUGGAGGACCUCUAGUAGCAUCUCAAGUGCCAUGGAAGAAUCCAAUGCCCUAAAGGUGCGGAGAAAGGACCAAGUCCGCAAGCAGACAAAGCCAGACCCAAAGGUAUGGGGCCAAGCCCACAUUUCCGUGCUGCAACCUUCCCGUCCGUGAC
rnacentral:lncRNA from 1 species